UGCUUUAUUUUCAGAGGAAGGAGUGGCAAUUAGGGUCCAAAUCUUCUAGCAACAAGGAGGAAGAGAAACCAACGUUGGUUGAUAGCAGAAGCAGCAGUAUUCAACUCGUGAGACCGACAAGAUUUAAGGUGUGCACAAGUCCAGAGAACAGGUUCGCUACAACUGGUGGAGCGUCUCAUCACCCGAGUUUUGACACGUCCACUCCAAGCAAUACCUUAGAAGAAGAAAGUUCAGAUGAAGAUGAGGAUUCGGAGGUUACCCCAUCAAGCAGCAACACAUUCAGCGAUAAUACCGAUUUUGACGCUCUUAAAAGCUUUGCAGACUUUAAUAUCAUCCUUGAUGAUUUGGUCAUCGACCGCGAAUUACUCCCCGGUCACCUGCGUAGGAAGUACUACCAGCUCUGCUGCGACAGGAAGAU